rnacentral:lncRNA from 1 species
GCCGAAUCCCAGCCCCAGCACGAAAGAGCGGAGCAGAGGAAGGGAGUCUUGGAACUGAGAACAGGAGCUCUUCUUUCUUGGCUUCUUUACCUGGUUCUCUGAAGAUAUCUGAAGUGAUUGCCUUUGGAUACCACAAUAGUAGGCAACUAAAUUUCUCACUCUGUGAUAUGGAAUUGCUUUGAAGGUCCACAGGAGAAGCUGCUAUUUGCCCAUGAAUCCUCCCUCACUCCAUAUGCGAAGGGGCAUCAUGGAGACUAAUGCCCUGUACAUGUUACUACAGGGAGGAAGUUUCAGGUGUACAUCAUUUGUUGUUAGUGCUGUCGAGUCAAUUCCAACUCCUUGCAACUCCGUACACAGCAGAGCAGACGCCUGCCUGGUCUUUUUGUGCCAUCCUCUCAUCUUCUGGAACUGUAUCAGAAAAUGCUCCACUGCUAUUUCUAGGGUUUUCGUGGCCAAUUUUUUCAGAACUGGGUGGCAAGGUCCUUCUUCCUAGUCUGUCUUAAUCUGGAAGCUCUGCUGAAAUCUGUCUACCAUGGGUGACCCUGCUGGUAUUUGAAAUACCAGUGGCACAGUUUUCAGCAUCACAGCAACACCCAGCUGCCACAGCAUGACAACAGAGAGACCGGUGGUGCAGGUUCUCUGACUUGGAAAUGAACCCUGGGCCACAGUGGUGAGGGCGCUGACUCUUACCACUAGACCACC